GUGUAACACUGUGGCUGUGGGCUGCUGUGUUUCCCCUCCUGGUGAGUAUAUGAUGGCUCCCAGAUGGGUCAGUAUACAGACCUUCCUGGAAACCUAUUUUGUGAAGGGACUGCAAACAAUUAAUUUGGUUUACGACUUGCCCUAGGCUCUUCUCCCAGCGGGACAUACCCAGAAAAACUCCACAGCAAGGUGUCCAGAGGCCGUCCCGAUCAGCUGCCUGAACCACCUCAACCUGAAGAGGCCCCACAGAGCGCGGACCCAAGGGAGCCGAGAAAAGUGAGCCUGUGGAGCGCAGCGACAUCGGGAACAGAGGCAAAAGAAGGGAGGCUGAAACCUCAAGGACAGAGAAGCAGAGGUUUUUGAAUGUUGUCAAAAAGAGACCUGUGGACGGCCAAAACAAGCCUGAAAAGACUCGAAGCUUGUCUGCACAAACAGGAGAAAAGACUAAUACAUAAACAGCCUCAAUGUUUUUUCCUGUACCUCACAGUUUGAAUUCUGUUUUAUUUUUAGUUGCUUGUUUUUAGUUGGCUGUCUACUGGAUUUUUUUAACCAUUAUUUAUUGUGCUACACAUCUUUUUGUAAUAAACAUGUUUUUUUAAAAAAAUAUUAAUUCUAAAGUACCUCUCCAUACAUAUCUUAAACUAUGUAACAAUCAAUUUUGUUUAAAAUGGUUUUCCAACAUAAAAAUUGAAAGAAAGAAAAACGGCUUAUUGCCUUAGGUUGACAAGUGAAAUAACAGAGAGUAUCAAGAUGGUUAGAGGAGGAAACAGCCACAUGUUUAUAUAUCACAAUGGUAAGUGUAGUUAUUUGUUUAUGUUGCUUGUUAACUUGUAGCUGGCAGUUGGCUGAUACAGUGUUGGUGGUUGUGCUAAUGCAAACCCUCGCUCUCUGUACCAAGUCUGUUUGAAUGACAUUGCGUAUCCCGAUAGUUAGCAUUAAAGGAGACACUGCGGAGACUCAGCGACACGUUUGAGCCUCAGUCAGACCCAGACUCAGGUGAGGAGUCUGUUGUGAUCAAAACCAGUGACUAACAGACAUGUCAGAGCAGUUAGCAUAGUUAGCAUCUUUUAUUUGUUUAUGUUGUCUGUUAGCUUGUAACCGGCAGUCGCUGACAGUGUUAGUUGUUGUGCUUAUGCAAACUCUCUCUCUCUCUCUCUGUACUGACACAGCUUCAGGUUU